CCCCCAGUAGCGGCGAGCGAACGGGGAGGAGCCCAGAGCCUGAAUCAGUGUGUGUGUUAGUGGAAGUGUCUGGAAAGGCGCGCGAUACAGGGUGACAGCCCCGUACACAAAAAUGCACAUGCUGUGAGCUCGAUGAGUAGGGCGGGACACGUGGUAUCCUGUCUGAAUAUGGGGGGACCAUCCUCCAAGGCUAAAUACUCCUGACUGACCGAUAGUGAACCAGUACCGUGAGGGAAAGGCGAAAAGAACCCCGGCGAGGGGAGUGAAAAAGAACCUGAAACCGUGUACGUACAAGCAGUGGGAGCCUCUUAAUGGGGUGACUGCGUACCUUUUGUAUAAUGGGUCAGCGACUUAUAUUCUGUAGCAAGGUUAACCGAAUAGGGGAGCCGAAGGGAAACCGAGUCUUAACUGGGCGUUAAGUUGCAGGGUAUAGACCCGAAACCCGGUGAUCUAGCCAUGGGCAGGUUGAAGGUUGGGUAACACUAACUGGAGGACCGAACCGACUAAUGUUGAAAAAUUAGCGGAUGACUUGUGGCUGGGGGUGAAAGGCCAAUCAAACCGGGAGAUAGCUGGUUCUCCCCGAAAGCUAUUUAGGUAGCGCCUCGUGAAUUCAUCUCCGGGGGUAGAGCACUGUUUCGGCAAGGGGGUCAUCCCGACUUACCAACCCGAUGCAAACUGCGAAUACCGGAGAAUGUUAUCACGGGAGACACACGGCGGGUGCUAACGUCCGUCGUGAAGAGGGAAACAACCCAGACCGCCAGCUAAGGUCCCAAAGUCAUGGUUAAGUGGGAAACGAUGUGGGAAGGCCCAGACAGCCAGGAUGUUGGCUUAGAAGCAGCCAUCAUUUAAAGAAAGCGUAAUAGCUCACUGGUCGAGUCGGCCUGCGCGGAAGAUGUAACGGGGCUAAACCAUG
rnacentral:rRNA from 1 species